AUUGAACGCUGGCGGCAGGCUUAACACAUGCACGUCGAGCGAGUGGCGGACGGGUGAGUAAUGUCUGGGAAUCUAGCUUAUGGAGGGGGAUAACUACGGGAAACUGUAGCUAAUACCGCGUACCCUAUGAUGAGCCCAGGUGGGAUUAGGGAGAAGGUGGGGUAAAUGCUCACCAAGCCGCCGAUCUCUAGCUGGUCUGAGCGGAUGACCAGCCACACUGGGACUGAGACACGGCCCAGACGCCGACGGUAGGCAUCAGUGGGGAAUAUUGCACAAUGGUAGCAACCUGACGCAGCCAGUCCGCGGGAGGGAAGAAGGCCUUCGGGUUGGAAAGUUCUUUCGGUAAGGAGGCGUUACGUACAGAAGAAGCACCGGCUAACUCCGUGCCAGCAGCCGCGGUAAUUC
rnacentral:rRNA from 1 species